AUUGAACGCUGGCGGAAUGCUUUACACAUGCAAGUCGAACGGCAGCACGGACUUCGGUCUGGUGGCGAGUGGCGAACGGGUGAGUAAUGUAUCGGAACGUGCCCAGUCGUGGGGGAUAACGUAGUGAAAAUUACGCUAAUACCGCAUACGAUCUAUGGAUGAAAGCGGGGGAUCGCAAGACCUCGCGCGAUUGGAGCGGCCGAUAUCAGGUUAGGUAGUUGGUGGGGUAAAGGCCCACCAAGCCAACGAUCUGUAGCUGGUCUGAGAAGACGACCAGCCACACUGGAACUCGGACACGGUCCAGACUCCUACGGGAGGCAGCAGUGGGGAAUUUUGGACAAUGGGCGAAAGCCUGAUCCAGCCAUUCCGCGUGCAGGAUGAAGGCCCUCGGGUUGUAAACUGCUUUUGUACAGAACGAAAAGGUUUCUACUAAUACUAGGAGCUCAUGACGGUACUGUAAGAAUAAGCACCGGCUAACUACGUGCCAGCCGCCGCGGUAA
rnacentral:rRNA from 1 species